GCCUAGAGGCCUCACGGAGGACCCUAAAUACAGAAGCUGUGUGCUGGGGUGGUCGGAGGGAUGUGAGCUUGAGAAAAUCAGAACUCUUGCAAGCAAAAAGCAAGCUGGGCUUCAAGCGCCUGCCUUGGGACUCCCCAGCAUUUCUUUGAAAUGGUAACAUGAGGGGAAAGCGGAAUAAAAAGGGAAGGGCGUGUGAUAAUGCAGAAGGGGAUGAGCAUGUCAGGAGAUUUCUGAUGAGCCUGGUACAGUGCAUUGCCCAGACUGUCAAAACGUGUACCAGUAAAUGGGCAACAGAGCUAAGAUAUGGAACUGGAUAAUCAAGUCGUGGAUGGGGCUACGGGGAUUGCCCAUUCCUGGCUGAGAAGUUGGCAGUUUCUGUUUUGUAUUAGCAAAGAAGUUGGUUAAAGUGUCACCCAUGGCAUUUUUGGACCAAGACCUCAUGUCUACUGAAGCCGAAGCUUUGGGGGAACUGAGGAAUCCCUUCAGCAGCAGACGGCUCCAUGUGAUUCAGUGAAGGCGCACAAGCUGCUCUCCAACCGCCGUGGCUUCUUUCCUGUUCUGGUUAUUUUGCCAGUUUCACCACACCACACUCGGAGCAGUUUCCCAGAGAGCGUGGGUGUUAAUGAUCAGGAGGAACAGAGUUCUGUGAUCAAGUGAAUUUUGGAAAUGCUACGUCAAGCAGAGUUAAAUAAGGUGCGUUCCCAUAGAACAUGUUAGCACUGCUAAUAAUGUAUAUCAAGAGGGUGGUGUGUUAAGUAGGGUUUUCCAAACUUAUUUGAACACAAACUCCUUUCGUAGUUAAAGAAUAGCCAUUAAUAUCAAUCUUUUGCCCCUCAGCUCCAAACCCACACUUUGUUGCCCAGAUUGUGAUUCUGGGAUGUUUUCCCCUUGCUGACUGGCGUGAUGCUGAGCUUUGUUGGUAGAGGCUGCUGGGAUGACUCGGGAGAAGGGUAGGGCUUCUCUUUCUAGCGUUGGUAUGCUUUGCUUCUCCUUGUUC
rnacentral:lncRNA from 1 species